GGACAGGGCUUUGCUCUGUCUCCCAGGCUGGAGUGCAGGGGUGCCAUCAUAGCUCACUGCAGCUUUGACCUCCUGGACUAAGCUAUCCUCCUGCCUCGGCCUCCUGAGUGGGAAGGACUACAGGUUCCUUGAAUUUCUACGUGAAUUUUAGGAUCAGCUUGUCCAUUUCUGCAAAGAAGCCAGCUGAGCUUUUGAUUGGAAUUGCAUUGAAUCUGUAGAUCAAUUUGGAGAGCAUUUGCAUCUUAACAGUAUUAAGUCUUCUCAUCCAUGAACAUAUUAUAUUUUUCCAUGUAUUUAGAUCUUUAAUUGCCUUCAACAAUGUUUUGUAGUUUUUAGAAUAUAAAUCUUGCACUUCUUUUGUUAAAUGUAUUCCAAAGUAUUUC
rnacentral:lncRNA from 1 species